CUUUGCAGAACAGAAGCUCUGCCACCGAGGCCAGCACUGGGCAGCUGUGGGCUCCACGAGCCGGUCUGUUCUCUGCACUGCAGCCCACGGCCUUGGAUGAGGGCAAGAGAGAGGGUGCCCUGGCUGGAGGGUGGCGCGGGGGUGCAUUGAUGUGAAAGAGUGCCAGGGCUGAACCCCAGGAACCAGUAAGUGAGUCCCUGGCUCCUUCUCUGCCUCUCCCAGGCUUCUGAAACCUAGACUGUAGGGUCAAGAUAAAAACUGCCUAGGAACCUUUAUCCAACCCUCUAGAGGGUGGAGAGAAACAAACCAUGAGCUUGGCGUCCGCGUUCCUGGUUGGAGGCCCUGCCUGUUCACUUAAUCAAUCUGAGCCUCACUAUAAUCUGCUUAUCUUGCAAGGUUCUUGUGAGGAUCAAUUGAAACAAGGCGUGGGAAAGUUCUUUGCAAACUGUAAAGUGCUUUAAAGGAAGGAGUUGCUCCAGGCACGGAAUCAAAGGCCCAGAGGGAAAAAAUGUAAAAAUAGAGUCUGAAGCAAAUAGAUCGAAAGAGUGACAUUUGAAUAUCUGGGUGCUCAAAAACCUUAUGGUGGCCCACUGCCAGCCUAAGAAGAUCCAAAAUCCGGAACAAUUGGUGUACCACCUCGAAGUCUGCCGCCUACGUCUCUCUCCAGCUUUGUCACCCUCCGUGUGCUCGCACUAAAGAGGCGGCCCCGCCACCCGGUCAUGCUGCGGGUUUUCAUGUCUUCCUGCAAGUUCAGUUCUGAGAUGCUGUUACCUUCAAGCUCAGGUCCAAUGCCCUCCCCAUAAAGUCUUCAUCCAGCUCUACUUCCGGAACCAAUCCCGCGGCACAGCCCACAGGUGUAGGCAACGCUCUUUUUGAACAAAACAGAUCUAGAAGGCACCUCCCUUCUGCCUCCCCAGCUCCCUUUCCGUUAAUACUGAGCUCAAUUGUUUGGCAGACCCGGGAAGCAGAGGUGGGAUGACUAGACACAUUCAUCCAUAUGGUUCCUCAUCCAUAUAAACAGUGCAUCUAUCUUUCUCUCUUCCUUUCCUUUCUCCUGGUUUUUCUCCUAUGACAUCAGCUACAGAGCAGGCUGGCCUCACAUCAGCCUUGCAGAGAGGGUCAGGUGCUGUCCUCCAACUUAUGGCAAGAACCUGAGGAAAAUAAGAUUCCUCUAAGUGCAAUAUUGUAUCAAUUCCAAGAUGCACAUUUUUUUCUCAUUUUGAUAUCUCUGAAAUUAGGGUGCGUUGUACAAUCAAUGAAGUUUUUUCUUUCUUGGUGAUACACAAAAAUAAAAAUGUGUUUU
rnacentral:lncRNA from 1 species